CCGCUGAGGAGGAAGGAGCGGCAGGGACAAUGUGUGAUACACAUGAUACUGACCCCUUUCCCCGUCGCUGGCAGGAUUGAAGAGAAAAAAAAACUUAAUAAGCUCCAGGUUUCCCCUGGCCGUACACUGGUGCCCCCACUGAAGAGUAGCAGGUGUAAUAAUCGCAGGGUCUGAAAAGCCUUGACAGUGUCUCCACAACAUCCCGUAUCCAAGGCCUGAGCAAACGGCAAACCUCCUAGAUGAUGGAUCGGGUUGGCAGAACAACUACACCACAGGGUCUGCUCCAUUAAGAAGUGAUACACGAGGAUUGUGUGUUUCUAUGGACAACGUGCUAAUUCUGAAUUACCCAGGGUACACCAAGAGCAGUUUCUCAUCAUCCCUUAAGCAAUAAGAGGAGAUUGAACAUCUUAGAGUUUUAUUUGGCCUUCUGUGACGCUUCUCCUCCUCAGGUCAAGCAGAAGAGUGGACUGGAAUCAAAGAUGUAAGGUGGCAGUGAGUGGAACAUGUAUUUUGCUCUUUCUUUCCCAGUAGCCUCCAACCUUUCAGAAAAUCAGCCGGUAAGAUACCUAACGAACCUUUCUUUUUUUUUUUUUUUUUUUUUUCUUACAGCUAUCACUAAAAUGACUUGCCCUCAGAAGGGCACUCACUUAACGGCAGGUGGCAAUCGAACAGUCGGCACGAGCGAGCCUGCGGCGAGAUGCGGGCUUUCCCAGCUCCACCUCUGCGAGGAGCUGAAGUGAUGUGGCUGUCCUUGUCCUACCCCGCUCAGCGUGGCAGACCCACCCUCAGCCUGACGUUGCUUGGGGCAAGGUCACACUCGUGUCACCAUCGUGUCCUGGCCAGAACAAGGAGCUUUUUCGCAGGCAGUGCUCCAAAAUGCUGCUCGCAGGUACUUUCCAGGCUGUUUGUUCCAGAUCAGUUAGUGGAUUUUGAGGAUUUUAGAUUAGGGGAAAUAUUUGAAGGUAGCUCUGAGGCAUUCCCGUGUCAGACGCGCACAUUUUUCAAGGGUCUGAAGUAUGUGUUGGUUAUCUCCUGGCUGCUUUGCCCUGAGGGACAGAAAGGAGGGCCGAAGAAGGGAAGGAAAGGCCAGCUUCCCGAGGCUAAGCUGGGAGAUGGAGCAUCCUGGAACGGUGUCAAGUCCCGCUGGAGAUGUCAGCAGGGUCUCCCCUUCAGUAAACCCUUAGGGGUCAUUAGGUGAUGUUUCUUUCUUGGCACAGCUGCAAAUAUGGUCCAUUGCCUUUGUUUUGCUCUGCUAGCGUUGUUUUCCCACUGACUUUAGUGUUGAUCUAACGUAAGCGUUGCAUCUCGUUCCCAUCCAAAGAUGAGGUAUAAUCUGAGGGAGGCCUGUUUUUCAUUAGCGUUGAACUUGCAGCACAGGAACUUUCUCUGACGCAGUUCACAAGGGGGUGAGGAGGUGGGAGGGAGGGUUAGUUAUUACCUCUGUUUCCUCUGCUGGAGCAUGGGCUUCUCUACCGAGCUCUGCCGUCUCUCCCAGGGGCCAGCAACUAAUUCCUCCAUACCCCUGCACACCGGAGCCUCUCUUUAGAAGAGACUUCCAAUCAUGACAAAUUAUCUGUGCUGAUUUUGUGACAUGAACUGUUACCCAUUAGGGAAUGAACUGACACCAAUAAAUUCAUUUCACUUACAACCUCACACUGUGCAUGAAUUGAAGUUCUAGAGGUGAAAGACAUAAAUUUACCAGGUGGGCAGACACACAGCUUCCCCCUAAGACUGUGCACUUCACCUUUGCUACAUGCGCUGCUUCUGCUGGGCCAGCCCAACAUUAAUUUUGCAUAGAGUAGAUUUCUCCUGUACCGCGCACAGUCCAUAUGAUUUAUACUUGCCUCGAGUAGCUGUGUGA